rnacentral:lncRNA from 1 species
UCCUUUAAGGCUGAGCCUGGCAUGGGGGUCUGGUGGGGUACUGAGUAGCGGGGGAAGAAGAGGCACCUUUGAGCCCUUCAGACUCCUGCUUGCCCCUCCUCUGCCAAUAAUACAGCACGGGGCAAGGGAGGGGCUGGGCGGGAAGAGAGGACCCCAGGCAGGAAGAUCUGUUCAGAACUCUGGUGUGGGCUCAGCCACCCCCAUCCGAUGACCUGACUACUCUCCCAUCUCCGCUGAUCCUCACAGCCACCGUGGACAAUGCCAACAUCCUGCUACAGAAUGACAAUGCCCAUCUGGCUGCUGCUGACUUCCACACCAAGUUUGAGACAGAGCAGGCCCUGUGCCUGAGUGUGGAGGCCGACAUCAAUGGCCCGUGAAGGGUGCUGGAUGAGCUGACCCUGGCCAGAGCCGACCCGGAGAUGCACAUUGAGAACCUCAAGGAGGAGCUGGCCUACCUGAAGAAGAACCACGAGGAGAUGAACGCCCCGCGAGGCCAGGUGGGCGGUGAGAUCAAUGUGGAGAUGGGCGCUGCCCCAGGUGUGGACCUGAGCCUCAUCCUGAACGAG